GCGAACGCUGGCGGCAGGCCUAAUACAUGCAAGUCGAGCGGCCCUUCGGGGCAGCGGCGGACGGGUGAGUAACGCGUGGGAACGUGCCCUUUGGUACGGAACAACUGAGGGAAACUUCAGCUAAUACCGUAUGUGCCCUUCGGGGGAAAGAUUUAUCGCCAUUGGAGCGGCCCGCGUUAGAUUAGCUAGUUGGUAGGGUAAUGGCCUACCAGGGCGACGAUCUAUAGCUGGUCUGAGAGGAUGAUCAGCCACACUGGGACUGAGACACGGCCCAGACUCCUACGGGAGGCAGCAGUAGGGAAUCUUGCGCAAUGGGCGAAAGCCUGACGCAGCCAUGCCGCGUGAAUGAUGAAGGUCUUAGGAUUGUAAAAUUCUUUCACCGGGGACGAUAAUGACGGUACCCGGAGAAGAAGCCCCGGCUAACUUCGUGCCAGCCGCCGCCGUAACAC
rnacentral:rRNA from 1 species